rnacentral:rRNA from 1 species
AACGAACGCUGGCGGCAUGCCUAACACAUGCAAGUCGAACGAGACCUCGGGUCUAGUGGCGCCCGGGUGCGUAACGCGUGGGAACCUGCCCUUAGGUUCGGAAUAACUCCCCGAAAGGGGUGCUAAUACCGGAUAAUGUCUUCGGACCAAAGAUUUAUCGCCUUUGGAUGGGCCCGCGUUGGAUUAGCUAGUUGGUAGGGUAAAAGCCUACCAAGGCGACGAUCCAUAGCUGGUCUGAGAGGAUGAUCAGCCACACUGGGACUGAGACACGGCCCAGACUCCUACGGGAGGCAGCAGUGGGGAAUAUUGGACAAUGGGCGAAAGCCUGAUCCAGCAAUGCCGCGUGAGUGAUGAAGGCCUUAGGGUUGUAAAGCUCUUUUACCCGGGAUGAUAAUGACAGUACCGGGAGAAUAAGCUCCGGCUAACUCCGUG